UACGGGAGGCAGCAGUGGGGAAUAUUGCACAAUGGGCGCAAGCCUGAUGCAGCCAUGCCGCGUGUAUGAAAAAGGCCUUCGGGUUGUAAAGUACUUUCAGUCGUGAGGAAGGUGUUAAGGUUAAUAACCUUAGCAAUUGACGUUAGCGACAGAAGAAGCACCGGCUAACUCCGUGCCAGCAGCCGCGGUAAUACGGAGGGUGCGAGCGUUAAUCGGAAUUACUGGGCGUAAAGGGCACGCAGGCGGUUAAUUAAGUUGGAUGUGAAAUCCCCGGGCUUAACCUGGGAAUGGCAUUCAAGACUGGUUAGCUAGAGUCUUGUAGAGGGGGUUAGAAUUCCAUGUGUAGCGGUGAAAUGCGUAGAGAUGUGGAGGAAUACCGGUGGCGAAGGCGGCCCCUGGACAAAGACUGACGCUCAUGUGCGAAAGCGUGGGGAGCAAACAGGGAUUAGAUA
rnacentral:rRNA from 1 species